rnacentral:rRNA from 1 species
AUUGAACGCUGGCGGCAGGCUUAACACAUGCAAGUCGAGCGAGCGGCGGACGGGUGAGUAAUGUCUGGGAAACUGCCUGAUGGAGGGGGAUAACUACUGGAAACGGUAGCUAAUACCGCAUACCAUCAGAUGUGCCCAGAUGGGAUUAGCUAGUAGGUGGGGUAAUGGCGCACCAAGGCGACGAUCCCUAGCUGGUCUGAGAGGAUGACCAGCGACACUGGAACUAAGGCACGGUCCAGACUCCUACGGAGGGCGGCCGUGGGGAGUAUUGCACAAUGGACGAAAACCUGAUGCAGCCAUGCCGCGUGUGUGGAGAAGGCCUUCGGGUUGAAAAGCACUUUCAGCGAGGAGGCGUUACUCGCAGAGGAGGCACCGGCUGACUCCGUGCCAGCAGCCGCGGUAAUAC